rnacentral:rRNA from 1 species
AGCCGCGCAGCACAGUCACAUAUCACGAGUAUGCAUAGGCACGUCUGCCUGGGCGUCACGC